GAAGCAUGAAGCUGAGGUGACAUUGUGAACAAAGUGAUCCUAAGGCAAGAUGCUCUAAGCCCUCUGUCAUGCCUGCGUAAGGGCUGCUGGAGGGUGCCUCGGCUGUGUGGCAGCACCAGCGCUGGGAAAACGCCUGCUGUUUAGCCAGCUAGGGGAGGAGAUGUCCAAAAUGGCUGAGACAUCUCCUUCCUCGGGGGAGUGAGGAGAAAACUCCGCUCCCCCAAGCUCUUGUGGUAAGCCUGAUGGCUGUCAGGGAGGCCCUCAGACAUCUGGGGGCUUAACUGUCUCUAUGUGAUGCUGUGCUUCAGCGGUCACAUUCCAUGUCUACUUUCAAGUUCUGCUUCUGCAUCUGGUUCCUCUUUUUCUUAGAAGAUAAGAAUUAGUAAUGGUAACAUAAAUCUUAGUGACCUUGUUAUUUCUUGACAAGUAUGAAAACAGUGCUGAUGCCUUAGGCUUUCUCCUCCCCUCGGCUACUUGAGAGUCCUGGGCCCCUGUCUUCAAGACACGUGAUUUAUUUGACCCUAUCACUGACCACCAAUGCCUCGCCCUGCCUUCCCUGCCCCCUGCUUUGUACUCAAUAAAAGUCAAAACGUCCAGGCACUCAGGGCCACUGCCAGACUCCAUGCUUUGGUUGGCCAUGGACCCUGGGCCCAAACUCUUGUUUUCUCUUUCUCGGUGUCUUGUGUCUUUUAUUUCCACAGUUUCUCGUCUCCACACCUGUGCUCACGGGACCCUGUAGGGCUGGACCCUGCAUGGAGAGGAUUCACUCUUGGAUGUAGAGUUUUGAGAAAUCCUCCAGGGCCCAGUUCUCAAAGACUGGUCCCUGGACCAGCAGCAUCAGUAUCACCAGGGAACUCGCUAAGAAUGUAAAACCUUGAGCCCCACUCCAGACCUGAGAAUCAGAAUCUGGAAGGUGGGCUCUGGUAGGGUGGGUUUCAGCCAACAAGCCCUGCAGAGGAUUCUGAGGCUUGUUCUAGUUUGCGAAUCACUGAUUCAGAGCCAUGUUUCUCAAACCCGGCUGUGCCUGCCUGUCACCCAGAGAUCUCGUUAGAAUGCAGAUUCUGAUUCAGUCGCCAAGGGAGGGGUCUGAGACUCUGCAGUUCUGUCAAGCUCCCAGGUGACACAAUACUGCUGGCCUUUGUAGGAGAUCGGGGUCAGUGUGGUGGGAGAAAGGAAAAGGAGCAGGCCUUCUGAAAGGUCAGAAGGCUCUGCAAAGCUUCAGGGGAGAAUAGCUGAAGGCAGCUGUUCUGCAACCCUGAGGCAGAGGGCAAGGAGUAGGUACAAGGGAGUGUAGGGGAAUUUAUCUUAAACAGGCUUGUCUACUUAUGUUGUCCAGGAACUGACCUUUGAACGUAGGCUGAUGGUCCCUAAAAGGGGAACAAUAAAUGUUAAUUACCCGCAGACUGUGUUUGCUCCAUGCUUUCGGCAUUGUGCCUGGACUGAAUAAAAGUAAGCAGUUCCAGCUUCUCGAGGCUGCUCUUUGGCCACUAGAUCCAGACUGUCCCCUAGCUGCUCUUACACUGCAUACCUGUGUCUGAGUACUCAUUUCAUUCAUAGGUCGGACGGGGUCUGCAGGACAGACCCAGCAGGUCUUUGGAAAAUUUUGUGUAGCAGGGGUCUAGGCUUGUGUUUCCCAGGCAAGCUUUAUGAUGAAAGUCACCUGAGAAUUUAUGAACUAUACAAGUUACCAGGUCUCUCCCCUGGAAAUGCCAGUUUUGUGGAUCCAGCUUCCAGCCCAGGAAUCUGCUUUUUAACACAUCCACUCUAAGAGUUUACCUUUAGGCAGAUCAUUAGAAUCACUCGAGAGCCUUUAAAUGCAGAUUCCCAGGCUCCAACCCAACCUACUGAAUAAGAAUCUCUGAUGGUGCAGCCCUACAUUCUGAAUUUUUUUUAAAAAAGUAAACCAGGCAGUGCUGAUGCCCAGCUAGGCUUAGAAACCCUUGGAAUAGUUCAGGCCCCUCCUUUUUCAAGUGAGGAACCAGAAACCUGGAAGGUGAGUUGCCAAAGAUGAUGAAGGAAACUGGAAGGAAAGUUGAGACCGGAACCCAGAUUUUCUCAUUCCGACCUGGGUGUCCUUCCAGUGACUCUGUGUGUGUGUGUGUGUGUGUGUGUGUGUGUGUGUGUGUAGCUUUGAAAAUUCAAAGUAUUGGAAAUAGGAACUGUCAUACAAACAAAGGUAAGUAAGACGGUGUAAGUCAUGACUGCUACUCAGGGAGAGUAAAGGGCAUUUUUUCUUUUUGAGACAGAGUCUCACUCUGUUGCCCAGGCUGGAGUGCAAUGGCGCAGUCUCCGCUCACUGCAACCUCUGCCUCGUGGGUUCAAGUGAUUUCCUGCCUCAGCCCCCUGAGUAGCUGGGAACCACAGGCACACACCACCACACCCAGCUAAUUUUUGUAUUUUUAGUAGAGACAGGGUUUCACCAUGUUGGCCAGGAUGGUCCUGAACUUUUGACCUCAUGAUCCGCCUGCCUUGGCCUUCCAAAGUGCUGAGAUUACAGGCGAGAGCCACCUCACAGAGGGAAUUUUUUAAAAUGCCCCCUAGAAAGGUGCACAAAGGGUAGGGGUGUAACCGCUGGUGGGUGAGGAAGACCAAGACAGCCUGCGGUAUGUUAGGAUUGCAGGUGGAGGUGGCCGGGUGGGAGUAGCAAAGGGGAGCCAAGUCUGCAGGCACACGGGGAAGGCUAAGUAUCCAUCUGAAGCAAGUGUAGUGAUUGAUGGGGCGGGCAGGAGCAUCAGCAGUGUCUGGCAGAGCAGUGAUGGGUCAGAGUUGUGUUUCAAACAGGCCUAAGGAGGACCAAGUUUUAUUAACUAACUUGAAUGGGCUCAGCUGUGACAUUGUUUGUCUUAAACACUACACACUUGGGGCCAAAUGUAUGGUGAACCAUGUGUGCCUCAGACCACCAGAUCUUCAUAUACCAGCCUUUAAAAGCCAAAAAGUGGUCUCAACAUGUGAUAUAGCUAGCCUAGAGUUAGAAUUUGUACACUACCAUAAAUUGGACAAAACUGUUUCUGUUCUCCUCACAAGGACUGCUAACCUGAGUUUCUGUAAACUGCUAAUUUACUUUGCAAAAAGGUAAAGCUGCAUACUUCCCCUUAUCUGUAACUGCCAGAAUUGCUGGCCUUUGAUCACCAGUAAUGGCCAGAGUAAGCACCCCAGAUCAUUCCAUCCUGGAAGUGAUUGACAGCUUUCAUUCCCAUCUCCACUCUACCUCCACUCCCAAGGUGGUUUUGUGGGUAUAAAAAGGUCUUGUCUCUUUUCUUUCGGGGCCACAGGUUGGAGAGACGUGAGUUCUCCGUGGUCGCCGGCAAUAAACCCUGUAAUCUGGCAUUCUUUUGUUCUGGUGUUGACUUUCUGUGCUGAGUGCGAUAUAACAAACUGAGCCAGGACAUGCAGUAGGAGACUGCCAAAAUGGCUUCUUCCUUUCUCAGUAACACUCAAUAUUCAAACUGUCUUUUUAACUCAGCAACAUGGGAUGAUUUAAGCUAUAGAUCUAGUAUUAACAUUUCCUUACAGAGGUGGCAAGAGCCACCCAAACAAACACACACAAAAGCCUACGUUCAUCUCCACCGCCACAUUUCAGAUGAUGACACAAAGGCAAUGGAUUUCUCAGGAUUACAAGGCAAGACGGAACUGGAAGAAGGCUGGGAGGAAACUGAGAUUGAGUGAAUGUUGACUCUGCUCAGCCCUGAGCUGGGAAGCGGUGGAAACGCCCUGAGCCAGGCCAGGAAGCGGUGGAAACGCCCUGAGCUGGGAAGCACUGGAAAUGUCCCUGGGCUGUGAGCCAGGAAUUCAAAUUCCAGCCUGUAGAGCUGUUCUAGGGGUUAGAAUUUUGGGGGUCCCUUGUUGCUGCACCCAUUCCAGGUUUGGGGCUGGCACUGCCCUUCUGACCCCUCUGUAAGGUGGGCACAGAAGUAGUGGGGAGAAGAAACAGGGGUCAGAAGACACCUCCUCGAGGACUCACUCUGCCUGUAACAGGACCUGCUGAGGUUGCAGUGCUGGCUUCCCACAGAAAAUGACCCUCAUUCUCGAAGGCGGAGAGUGAGCCCCAUGGAGCUGCGUGCCCUCGGCCAUGGGAGAUCAACUGUGGCUGUAUCAGGUGUAAUCAGGAACAUCACAUCUGAAGGCUUGCAGCCUCUGCCUGCCUUGUGGGACGCUGCUGGAAAUUAUCCUCGUGUUUAUAUAGCAUUCUCUGCAAGUGGCUGCUGUUGUCUUUCUGUUGUCAGCACAGUCAGGUGCUGGGGGUACCAGACCUUGGGGUGGGUGGCAAGCGAGGGCCAGCUUGUAUCCGUGUGGCCUUUUCAGGAGCAGAGUGUGAUUGCAAGGAGAAUGUGUGCUUCAACCGUCACCAGCACAGAGAGGGGCACACAGCCCAAACCUAUCCUCUUCCCAGAAACCUACGAGUUCGCUGAGUGCACCUGUGUGAAGAGGCAGGCUCCGAUAGCCUCAGGCUGGUGGGCUGCUAGGGAAGCAGAUAAGGAAUUCCAGCUGGAGAUAAUGAGUUGAAAAGCUGGCCUUUGUUUCUGGAAUUGAUACCCCAUUGAGGGAGCCCCUCAAAAUAAACGCCCAUGUAUAAUGCCCUGUGCUUCAGGUCUCAACACCUGUUGUCCUUGGGACAGAGACCCCAAGCCCAAAAUAGGCACAGCUGCUAUGGAUGCUCAUCUUGCCCUCCUGGAGCUGAGGCUGGACCAUAUUUGGAAAUAUGUCUCCCUCCAUCCCCUCCUCCCAACUUCAUACAAAGCCUUAGGGCUUUAAGACGUGAGCUCUCUCCUCAUUCCCUCUUCCCAAUCUUUCUUGGGUAUCUCUGCGUCUCCCAUCCCUUGGGCGUGUCAUAGGCAGAUGGUAAGUGACAGAUGAAUGAAUACAUGUAUAAGAAAACACAGACCUGAAAUUUCUAGCAGCACAGCUUGGAGCAGGAAGCUCUGGCUGGCCUGGGCUUUUUGCUAAGGUGUCCUGGCUUCUCAUGGCAGCACCUCUCCCCCAGGGCCUUUUCCAAGAUGAUCCUCUCUUUAGGCUUCUGAGCAGUGUGAAUUGCAAACAGCCAUGCCCACUCCCCAGACCAAGAAAACCAAGUUCAGGGCCAGGAUUGCUCACAAAUUUGUUAAGGAACUGCUUCUGCCUUAUUAUUCUCUCUGUAUUUAUUUUUAUUUUAUUUUUAGUAGAAAUGGGGUUUCACCAUGUUGGCCAGGCUGGUCUCAAACUCCUAACCUCAGGGGAUCUGCCUGCCUCGACCUCCCAAAGUGCUGGGAUUACAGGCAUGAGCCACCCCGCCUGGCCUAUUCUCUUUAUUACCGAAAUGCUGAGCCGGAAAGUCAACAUAGAAUUUGUUUUUCCCAAGGGCACGCAGAUUGCCCCAACACUUUACUUUUCCUGCUAGAAACUCAACCCAAGAGGUGGGCUUUCUUUUGGUCUCCGACUAUGAAAGCAUGCCACUCUGUCGCUGUCAUCCAUCACGCAGGACUCCUAUGGGUUUGGUUUGGUUCUUUCAUCAUUAUUGUUCGGGAAGUUGUAUUUCCUUUACUGUCCUUAAGUAUGAGGCUCCACCUGUCUCGCCUCCGUAUCCGUGAGUCACUGAGGAGUCCUGUGUCAGUGACAUCUCUCCAUGUGCUUUUCCUAAGAUGCCCCCUCUCUCGGCAAGCUCGAGUCAGGCUUCCCCAUGAAGGCGACCUAAGGGUGUCUAUCAUCCCCCUCCUAAGUGUCCCCAGGGCUUUGGAACAAGGGCCAUGUCCCAUUUAAUGUAACACAAAGAAGACUCAUCAAAGCCCAGGAGCUGGGAGUUCUUUGCUCUUCACUGUUAUGGAAAGCUUGAAACGUCUUAGAUAAAAAUAAUCUGGGCCAUCCUAGGCCCCUGGCUACAGAUGGCCUGCAGUUGGGGCAGGAGCACCUCCAGAGUGUCUCGGCAUUGCUGAGGGUAACCUGAUCGCUGCUCGGAUCCAGCAAGCAGCCUCAGAACCUCCCCGCCGCUGUUGUUUUUAGCACGGGGAUUAUUGGUAGGGGUGUAAAUAGACAGCUGUGCUCUGGGUGGCUCGCUCGCUCCACAUUCCUAGGCACUCUCAUUUUAUUAAAGCUCUCAGCUGUCGGGUGACCCAGGCCUGGAGAAUGAAAGGCCACCCUCACCAACUGGUGGCAGGGCUGCAAAUGGCAACCAAUUUUCCCCCAUAAGGAUAUGUUACUCCUAUUAGAAACCACAUUCCUCACAUGUCCUUAAGAAGGGGGCCAUCUGCCAAUCAUAAAUCAAGAUCUCAUCUGUUCCAAAUAAAGCGUCUACCCUCCUCGCUGGCAGGCCUUUUAUAGUGGACAGACAGAUCUUUUUUUUUCAAAUUUUGUGCAUGGCCAUGUAUUUCUUAUGUAAUUAAAAAAUUAUAAAAGGUAAUAAAAAAUACAAAUCCA